GUACCGUUGGCUCAAUGGUAGAGCAUCUGUCUUCGGAACAGAAGGUUGUGAGUUCGAGUCUCACACGGUAUA